rnacentral:rRNA from 1 species
GCGAGACAGUGAUGUGGAGCGAAACUUAAAAAAGUAAGUCUCAGUUCGGNUUGAAGGCUGAAAUUCGCCUUCAUGAAGCCGGAAUUGCUAGUAAUGGCAGGUCAGCAUACUGCCGUGAAUACGUUCCCGGGCCUUGUACACACCGCCCGUCACACCAUGAGAGUUGGGAAUACCCGAAGCCUGUGAGCUAACAUUUAUGAGGCAGCAGUCGAAGGUAGAAUCAAUGAUUGGGGUGAAGUCGUAACAAGGUAAC